GGUUUCCUAGUGUAAUGGUUAUCACAGCGGAUUUUGAUUCCGCUAAUCUGGGUUCGAUUCCCAGGGAGACCU